rnacentral:rRNA from 1 species
AACGAACGCUGGCGGCAGGCCUAACACAUGCAAGUCGAGCGCGCCCUUCGGGGUGAGCGGCGGACGGGUGAGUAACGCGUGGGAACGUGCCCUUUUCUACGGAAUAGUCUCGGGAAACUGAGAGUAAUACCGUAUACGCCCUUUGGGGGAAAGAUUUAUCGGAAAAGGAUCGGCCCGCGUUGGAUUAGGUAGUUGGUGGGGUAAUGGCCUACCAAGCCGACGAUCCAUAGCUGGUUUGAGAGGAUGAUCAGCCACACUGGGACUGAGACACGGCCCAGACUCCUACGGGAGGCAGCAGUGGGGAAUCUUAGACAAUGGGGGCAACCCUGAUCUAGCCAUGCCGCGUGAGUGAUGAAGGCCUUAGGGUUGUAAAGCUCUUUCAGCUGGGAAGAUAAUGACGGUACCAGCAGAAGAAGCCCCGGCUAACUCCGUG